GGACAUUGUGCACGCUUGUCAUCUUUAUCAUUUCUCCAACUGUGCACGUAUUUGUAGACCUUGGAGGGGGGAAUGGAAUUCGUUCCGAGUGGGGACUGCUGUGCCUUCAAAAAAAAAAAGGUCGGCUUUCCCUUUGAAAGGUCUAUGUCAUUUUUUUCACAACCAAUGUGUUUAGAAUGUUGAAAAUAAAGAAAAGUUAAUAAAAAACAACUUUCAGCAACGGAUCUCUUGGCUCUCGCAUCGAUGAAGAACGCAGCGAAAUGCGAUAAGUAAUGUGAAUUGCAGAAUUCAGUGAAUCAUCGAAUCUUUGAACGCAUCUUGCGCUCCUUGGUAUUCCGAGGAGCAUGCCUGUUUGAGUGUCAUUUUAAACUCUCAAACCCCAUCAUUCAUUUGACGUGGCUUUGGACUUGGGGGCUUUUGCAGGCUUUUUAAUAAAAGGCCUGCUCCCCUGAAAUUCAUUAGUGGUACCUGGAGCGGAAACCGCUAGGUGUUGAUAACAUUCAUCUAUGCCUUUGGUUAUGCC
rnacentral:sRNA from 1 species